GGAAACCUAAAAACAACUAUUGGAUCUAGAAAUGGACGUUUGAGAUUUGUCCGCGUAAUCAAGAGUAAAAGUUUUACUUUAAUAGUAAAAGUUUUACUCUUGAUUAUAUGGAUAAAUCUCAGACAUCUGUUUUAACAUCCAACAAUAAUUUACAAGUUUCC
rnacentral:pre_miRNA from 1 species